rnacentral:rRNA from 1 species
GACGAACGCUGGCGGCGUGCUUAACACAUGCAAGUCGAACGGAAAGGCCCUGCUUUUGUGGGGUGCUCGAGUGGCGAACGGGUGAGUAACACGUGAGUAACCUGCCCUUGACUUUGGGAUAACUUCAGGAAACUGGGGCUAAUACCGGAUAGGAGCUCCUGCUGCAUGGUGGGGGUUGGAAAGUUUCGGCGGUUGGGGAUGGACUCGCGGCUUAUCAGCUUGUUGGUGGGGUAGUGGCUUACCAAGGCUUUGACGGGUAGCCGGCCUGAGAGGGUGACCGGCCACAUUGGGACUGAGAUACGGCCCAGACUCGAACGGGAGGCAGCAGGGGGGAAUAUUGCACAAUGGGCGGAAGCCUGAUGCAGCAACGCCGCGUGCGGGAUGACGGCCUUCGGGUUGUAAACCGCUUUCGCCUGUGACGAAGCGUGAGUGACGGUAAUGGGUAAAGAAGCACCGGCUAACUACGUG